rnacentral:rRNA from 1 species
GGGUUGUGAGGUUAAGCGACUAAGCGUACACGGUGGAUGCCCUGGCAGUCAGAGGCGAUGAAGGACGUGCUAAUCUGCGAAAAGCGUCGGUAAGGUGAUAUGAACCGUUACAGCCGGCGAUGUCCGAAUGGGGAAACCCAGUGCAAUUCGUUGCACUAUCGUUAACUGAAUACAUAGGUUAACGAGGCGAACCGGGGGAACUGAAACAUCUAAGUACCCCGAGGAAAAGAAAUCAACCGAGAUUCCCCCAGUAGCGGCGAGCGAACGGGGAGCAGCCCGGAGUCUGAAUCAGCUUGUGUGUUAGUGGAAGCGUCUGGAAAGUCGCAGGGUACAGGGUGAUACUCCCGUACACUAAAACGCACAGGUUGUGAACUCGAAGAGUAGGGCGGGACACGUGGUAUCCUGUCUGAAUAUGGGGGGACCAUCCUCCAAGGCUAAAUACUCCUGACUGACCGAUAGUGAACCAGUACCGUGAGGGAAAGGCGAAAAGAACCCCGGCGAGGGGAGUGAAAAAGAACCUGAAACCGUGUACGUACAAGCAGUAGGAGCCCACUUGUUGGGUGACUGCGUACCUUUUGUAUAAUGGGUCAGCGACUUAUAUUCUGUAGCAAGGUUAACCGUAUAGGGGAGCCGCAGGGAAACCGAGUCUUAACUGGGCGUUAAGUUGCAGGGUAUAGACCCGAAACCCGGUGAUCUAGCCAUGGGCAGGUUGAAGGUUGGGUAACACUAACUGGAGGACCGAACCGACUAAUGUUGAAAAAUUAGCGGAUGACUUGUGGCUGGGGGUGAAAGGCCAAUCAAACCGGGAGAUAGCUGGUUCUCCCCGAAAGCUAUUUAGGUAGCGCCUCGUGAACUCAUCUUCGGGGGUAGAGCACUGUUUCGGCUAGGGGGUCAUCCCGACUUACCAACCCGAUGCAAACUACGAAUACCGAAGAAUGUUAUCACGGGAGACACACGGCGGGUGCUAACGUCCGUCGUGAAGAGGGAAACAACCCAGACCGCCAGCUAAGGUCCCAAAGUCAUGGUUAAGUGGGAAACGAUGUGGGAAGGCCCAGACAGCCAGGAUGUUGGCUUAGAAGCAGCCAUCAUUUAAAGAAAGCGUAAUAGCUCACUGGUCGAGUCGGCCUGCGCGGAAGAUGUAACGGGGCUAAACCAUGCACCGAAGCUGCGGCAGCGACACUAUGUGUUGUUGGGUAGGGGAGCGUUCUGUAAGCCGUUGAAGGUGGCCUGUGAGGGUUGCUGGAGGUAUCAGAAGUGCGAAUGCUGACAUAAGUAACGAUAAUGCGGGUGAAAAACCCGCACGCCGGAAGACCAAGGGUUCCUGUCCAACGUUAAUCGGGGCAGGGUGAGUCGACCCCUAAGGCGAGGCCGAAAGGCGUAGUCGAUGGGAAACAGGUUAAUAUUCCUGUACUCGGUGUUACUGCGAAGGGGGGACGGAGAAGGCUAUGUUGGCCGGGCGACGGUUGUCCCGGUUUAAGCAUGUAGGCGGAUGUUCCAGGUAAAUCCGGAACGUCACUAACGCUGAGGUGUGAUGACGAGGCACUACGGUGCUGAAGUGACAAAUGCCCUGCUUCCAGGAAAAGCCUCUAAGCAUCAGGUAACAUCAAAUCGUACCCCAAACCGACACAGGUGGUCAGGUAGAGAAUACCAAGGCGCUUGAGAGAACUCGGGUGAAGGAACUAGGCAAAAUGGUGCCGUAACUUCGGGAGAAGGCACGCUGAUGGUAAGUGAAGCGACUUGCUCGUGGAGCUGAAAUCAGUCGAAGAUACCAGCUGGCUGCAACUGUUUAUUAAAAACACAGCACUGUGCAAACACGAAAGUGGACGUAUACGGUGUGACGCCUGCCCGGUGCCGGAAGGUUAAUUGAUGGGGUUAUCCUCGCGGAGAAGCUCUUGAUCGAAGCCCCGGUAAACGGCGGCCGUAACUAUAACGGUCCUAAGGUAGCGAAAUUCCUUGUCGGGUAAGUUCCGACCUGCACGAAUGGCGUAAUGAUGGCCAGGCUGUCUCCACCCGAGACUCAGUGAAAUUGAACUCGCUGUGAAGAUGCAGUGUACCCGCGGCAAGACGGAAAGACCCCGUGAACCUUUACUAUAGCUUGACACUGAACACUGGUCCUUGAUGUGUAGGAUAGGUGGGAGGCUUUGAAGUGUGGACGCCAGUCUGCAUGGAGCCAUCCUUGAAAUACCACCCUUUAAUGGCUGGUGUUCUAACGUGGGCCCGUAAUCCGGGUUGCGGACAGUGUCUGGUGGGUAGUUUGACUGGGGCGGUCUCCUCCUAAAGAGUAACGGAGGAGCACGAAGGUCAGCUAAUCCUGGUCGGACAUCAGGAGGUUAGUGCAAUGGCAUAAGCUGGCUUGACUGCGAGCGUGACGGCGCGAGCAGGUGCGAAAGCAGGUCAUAGUGAUCCGGUGGUUCUGAAUGGAAGGGCCAUCGCUCAACGGAUAAAAGGUACUCCGGGGAUAACAGGCUGAUACCGCCCAAGAGUUCAUAUCGACGGCGGUGUUUGGCACCUCGAUGUCGGCUCAUCACAUCCUGGGGCUGAAGUAGGUCCCAAGGGUAUGGCUGUUCGCCAUUUAAAGUGGUACGCGAGCUGGGUUUAGAACGUCGUGAGACAGUUCGGUCCCUAUCUGCCGUGGGCGCUGGAGAAUUGAGGGGGGCUGCUCCUAGUACGAGAGGACCGGAGUGGACGCAUCACUGGUGUUCGGGUUGUCAUGCCAAUGGCAUUGCCCGGUAGCUAAAUGCGGAAGAGAUAAGUGCUGAAAGCAUCUAAGCACGAAACUUGCCCCGAGAUGAGUUCUCCCUGACCCUUUAAGGGUCCUGAAGGAACGUUGAAGACGACGACGUUGAUAGGCCGGGUGUGUAAGCGCAGCGAUGCGUUGAGCUAACCGGUACUAAUGAACCGUGAGGCUUAACCUUACAACGCCGAAG